CUAGCCCGGGAAUCGCCUAGUACGGCGAGUGAGUGGGAAAAGCUCAACUUUGAAAUCUGGCACCUUCGGUGUCCGAGUUGUAGUCUCAAGAAGUGUUUUCUGUGCCGGCCCGUGUAUGAGUCUGUUGGAACACAGCGUCAUAGAGGGUGACAACCCCGUUCAUGACACGGAUCCCGGUGCUUUGUGAUACACUCUCGAAGAGUCGAGUUGUUUGGGAAUGCAGCUCAAAUUGGGUGGUAAAUUCCAUCUAAAGCUAAAUAUUGGCGAGAGACCGAUAGCAAACAAGUACCGUGAGGGAAAGAUGAAAAGCACUUUGGAAAGAGAGUUAACAGUACGUGAAAUUGUUGAAAGGGAAACGAUUGAAGUCAGACGUGCGUGAUGCGGUUCAGCUCUGGUUCGCCAGAGUGUACUCCGUAUCUUUGCAGGCCAACAUCAGUUUCGCGAGUCGGAUAAAGGUUAGAGGAAUGUGGCACCUCCGGGUGUGUUAUAGCCUCUGACUGAAUACGAUUUGUGGGACUGAGGAACGCAGCGCGCCGCAAGGCAAAGGUUUCGACCUUUUCGCGCUUAGGAUGUUGGUGAAAUGGCUUUAAACGACCCGUCUGAAAACACGGACC
rnacentral:rRNA from 1 species